GUAGCUCAGCGACAGAGCAUCUGCUUUCCAUGCAGAAGGUCCCGGGUUCAACUCCUGUUGUCCCCCA